CUUCAAUCCGUCGACGCUGAUAUCUUCACCAUUAAUCCUCUUCUAAACCUCUUAAUCUUCUUCUGUUUCCUCUUAAUUCUCUUCUACUUGUCUUUUAGAGGAAGUGGAAGAGGAUUAAGAGGAAUUUAGAGGAGGAUUGAAAGGUUUAGAGGAGGAUUAAUUCUCUUCCAUUUCCUCUUGACCCUCUCCAUACUGUAACGCCAAUGUCUGUGUCACGGAUGGAAAGGGUUGACUUCGAAGAGAGGAAGAGGGAGAAAUGACCAAGAGGGAUCAAGAGGAUUUGUAAAGGCCCCAUCCUCUCUACCCCUGACCAUCAUCGUAACAGCAGUGUACAAGUUAAACGAAAGAGAGGAGAGAGAAACGAUUGUGUUCACCUCAUCAAGUAGGAUUAAAAAGAGGAUCAGUGUAAAGGCUUCCUCUCCCGUACUGCUUACCAUCCUUGUUACUUUGAGCAGUGAACAGAAAAGAUCGUAACAGCAACAUACAAGUUAAACAAAAUAGAGGAAGAGAGGGAAACGAAGGCUCAUUCACCUCAUCAAGUAGGAUUAAAAAGAGGAUCAGUGUAAAGGCUUCCUCUCCUGUACCACUUGCCAUCCUUGUUACUUUGAGCAGUGAACAGAAAAGAUCGUAACAGCAACACACAAGUUAAACAAAAUAGAGGAAGAGAGGGAAACGAAGGCUCAUUCACCUCAUCAAGUAGGAUUAGUAAGAGGAUCAGUGUAAAGGCUUCCUCUCCCGUACUGCUUACCAUCCUUGUUACUUUGAGCAAUGAACAGAAAAGAUCGUAACAGCAACAUACAAGUUAAACAAAAUAGAGGAAGAGAGGGAAACGAAGGCUCAUUCACCUCAUCAAGUAGGAUUAUUAAGAGGAUCAGUGUAAAGGCUUCCUCUCCCUUACCACAUGCCAUCCUUGUAACUGAGAGCAACUGUAACUGUUAGAAAUCGAGGAAGGGCUAGCACUGGGCCGAGGAAGAUUGAGAGGGUCAUCGCAAAUCCAACUCCAAGAAUGGGAGAAGAUAGACGAUAAAACGAAGGAGAAGAAGAAGAACUGUGAGCAAUGCAGGAGAGGAAUGGAAAGGAAAGAAACUUGUUCACCUCAUCUAUUGGAGUAAGGAGUUGAGGAAAAGGAGUGGCAGCUGAGACAUUAAGGAAGAUUAUAUAAAGAAAGAGAAGGAAAUCAGUGUGAAGGAUGUAAGGAAGGAUUAGAAAGGAAAAUGGAUGUUAUGAUUGGUUAAAGGAAAAAUGAAGCUGCAAUGAAACACACACACACACACACACACACACACACACACACACACACACACACACACACACAC